rnacentral:rRNA from 1 species
UACGUAGGGGGCGAGCGUUGUCCGGAUUUAUUGGGCGUAAAGAGCGUGUAGGCGGCCAGACAAGUCUGCUGUGAAAACUCGAGGCUCAACCUCGAGCUGUCGGUGGAAACUGUCGGGCUAGAGUCCGGAAGAGGCGAGUGGAAUUCCUGGUGUAGCGGUGGAAUGCGCAGAUAUCAGGAGGAACACCGGUGGCGAAGGCGGUUUCCUGGCCGAGUACUGACGCUGAUGCACGAAAGCGUGGGGAGCGAACGGG